CAGCCCAACCCGAGCUCGGGCCGCAAUGCUGCCAGCUGUGGAGGCUCGUAGACUUGCGGGGACGGGUUCGGUUGACCAAGCUGGUAAACUGCGUCAGCAGCGACUCGUGCUUUUAUUUUUACAAGCCAACAUGUAUACAGGUGUUUGGGCGGCGCAAGCGCAGCACGCCGUGUUGGCCCCGGAGAGUACAGUAAACUG
rnacentral:snoRNA from 1 species